GAAUUAAAUAAACUGCUGUCUUGUUUUGGUUCAGGAGGUUCACAAACAAAGGGAUGGGCUGGGUCGGGAGCCAUGGCUGGAGACAGUGCCUGGAGUUAAGAAAGGUGAAUGUGCACAGGUUGCCUCGGGAGUACCGAGUUACUGAGGUUCAGACUUUCUUCAGAAAUGCUGAGGGGAGUUGAACAGCAGUUGAAAACGCAGAUAAAGAAAUACAUGGACCGUGCAAACAAAAAUCCUCACAUCAGAACGCGAGGGCAGCCUGAGCUAAACAGCUGGCUGGAUUUGCAUGAAAAUGGACUGCCCUUUUUCAUUUGUUUGUUCUUUGGAAAUUACAGUAGGAAAUCACCACAGGGAAUUUCUCCCACUUUGCUCGGCUCCCAGAGGAGUUGAAGGCUGUUACGAAAUCGAACUUCCUAGGAGCUCACCAGGGAUAUUUUUAGUCUAUAAUUCAAGCCUUUGCCUGAAGGGCAAGGAGCGUGUCCCAGGCACGAUGCGUGUUCCACAGUCAGUCCCGGUCAUGUGCUACAUCUGCUCCCUGAAGUCAUCUACAACAACACGCUCUCCAACGCUAACAGUUUUCAGGUGGCACAGCAAUAUGUUCUGCACAUGGUCUAAAUCGGGGCUUUUCACACAGCCAUCACAUUUGCUUAGGGAGAAAGUUCCUUUCCAGAGCAGAAACACAACAUCGUCCCUUCCAGUUCCAUCUGAGAGAAACAGAUAAAAGAAUGUGAAAAAAAAAAUCAUUCCGCUGCUGAGUGAUGCUCAUGGAAGAGAAAAUUCUGGACUAAAUAUGUUUAUUGUGGGUAUUACCAAAGACAAGAGGAGAUCACACAUGGGAAGUUUCAAUUGCUGAGGAUGAUACAUUUAUUUAAUAGUUAUGCUUUCCCUAUACCUGGCUCUGAUACAGGCUGAGACAGAGAUCAUGAGACAUGUUUUCAGAUAGACAUUUUUUGCUUUUAAUAUUAAAUUUUACUUGCUGAAGAACAAGCUCCUGAGCAGCAGUUCUUUCUAAUGCUGCACAUCUACAGCAAGGCUCAAAUACAUUUUCUCCUAAAAAGCAGUUUUCAGGACUAUGAAUUAAAUCCUCCAUAAAAUUUUGAUAAAGAUCGUGAAGCUUCAACUUCAGAAAGCAUGUACUUAUUAAAACUCCUCUUACUAGAUGUUUAAUAUAAUAUUGACAUCUAGUAAUUAAUUUAUCCAUGAUAGCAUUCAAUUCUUUUCUGCCUAUUAAUGCUGCAGUAUUCAUUUUUGUGUAUCAUAGAAAUAAACAGAAGAGAUACCAUUAGAUUUUAUUCUAU
ensembl:lncRNA